rnacentral:lncRNA from 1 species
AAGCUCAGGGAAGAGCAGAGCCAUCCAGGAGAGAACUUGGAGGAAGAGGAAGACAAUAGUUUCCUUGGAAGAGCUGUGAGUACUAGAAAAGUACUGUCCUGUAUCCUGGAGGGACACCAGAUGGAACCAAAGACCAGGUUAUUUAAGUCAAUCAGUCAAAAACCAAAACCUUAAUUUACAAUUAAAAAGUUUUUUUUUAAAAUAAACAAUCUAAAUGACUACUUUCCUGAGCCUGU